CCUACGGGUGGCAGCAGUGGGGAAUAUUGCGCAAUGGGCGAAAGCCUGACGCAGCGACGCCGCGUGAGGGAUGAAGGUCUUCGGAUCGUAAACCUCUGUCAGCAGGGAAGAACGGUCACUGUGCUAAUCAGCAGUGAAUUGACUGUACCUGCAAAGGAAGCACCGGCUAACUCCGUGCCAGUAGCCGCGGUAAUACGGAGGGUGCGAGCGUUACCCGGAAUUACUGGGCGUAAAGCGCUCGUAGGCCGUAUGUAAAGUCAAGGGUGAAAUCCCCGGGCUCAACGUGGGAACUGCCUUGGAAACUGGCAAACUGGAGUGUGUGAGAGGAUACUGGAAUUCAAGGUGUAGGAGUGAAAUCCGGAGAUAUCUGGAGGAACAUCAGGGGCGAAGGCGACUAUCUGGCACAUAACUGACGCUGAGGAGCGAAAGCGUGGGUAGCAAACAGGAUGAGAUACCCGAGUAGUC
rnacentral:rRNA from 1 species